UAAAGCUUCAAACUGGGAUUAGAUACCCCACUAUUCUUGACUGUAAAUCUAAUAAAAUUUACCAGAGCACUAUGAAUAUUAUAAAAAAUUUAAAACUCAAAGGGCUUGGCGGUGUUUUAGACCUAUCAGGGGAACCUGUCUCAUAAUCGACAAUCCACGUUGAACCUAACCCUAUUUUGUAUCCAGUUUGUAUACCGUCGUCGUCAGGUAACUUUUAAAAGAUUAGAAGUUAGCAAUAAAAAUUUUUUAAAUUAAAACGUCAGAUCAAGGUGCAGCUAAUAAUAGGGCGAGGAUGGGUUACAGUUAUUUAAGUUAUAAUUACGGAAAACUACAUGAAACAUAGUUUGAAGGAGGACUUGAAAGUAAAAUAAAAUAUAUAGACAAUUUGAAUAUGGCUCUGAAACGUGCACACACCGCCCGUCACCCUCUGCAGUCAAAAA
rnacentral:rRNA from 1 species